AGUCUUACGCAGGGGAGUCCCAACUGAGGGACUGAGAGGCGACUAGCAGCAUUGCUGUAGUGUCGCGACCCUUUGAACCUGACCCAGUUGAUACUGGCGUAGGAAGCAAUGGUCGUUUUUCC
rfam:Pelagicola litorisediminis strain CECT 8287 genome assembly, contig: 0017